UGGAAGAGUCAGGAAGCAACUGGCAACUGUUCUGCUUCUCUGAUUUUUCAGUUUCUUUUCAGUUUCUCUUCCUUUGUGAAUGAUGCUAACAUCAAUCCAAUUACAUAUGUGUCACACUGCCCUAUUUCCAGCUUCUCUCUGCUUAUGCAUGGAUGAAUUGUGAUCAGUCAGCUUCUUGAUCCAGCUGCCAUGCCUUCUUUGUUACUACAGACUCUCUUCUUCUAGAACUGCAGGAGCAUCUUGGCAGUGUUCUGCAUCGUUCGCCCUCCCAGGAAGCAAAGCACCCACACAGCCCCGGGUUUGUCCCUGGGACAGCGUGUAUGAGUGUGGGGGACGAGCCUGGCCUCCUCCCAGUCGGGUCCAUUUUUGUGUCAGAGUACACUGGCGGCCUGAGAAUGAUUUCAGAAUGAAGGGUUGUCUGUCAGCUCCGAAGAAGUGCUAUCAAACGAAUAAAUGACUCCUGGGCCUUUGCGUUGGCCUGCUGUGUCCGGUCAC